UUGCUCACUUCAGCAGCACAUACACUGAAAUUGGAACAAUGCAGAGAAGAUUGGCAUGGCCCCUGAGCAAGGAUAACACACAAAAUCAUGAAGCGAUCAUAUUUUUA
ensembl:snRNA U6 U6 spliceosomal RNA